UGGGGAAUUUUGCACAAUGGGGGAAACCCUGAUGCAGCGACGCCGCGUGAUUUAGAAGGCCUUCGGGUUGUAAAAAUCUUUUGUAUGGGAAGAAAAUGACAGUACCAUACGAAUAAGGACCGGCUAAUUACGUGCCAGCAGCCGCGGUAAUACGUAAGGUCCGAGCGUUGUCCGGAAUCAUUGGGCGUAAAGGGUACGUAGGCGGAUAAGCAAGUUAGAAGUGAAAUCCUAUAGCUCAACUAUAGUAAGCUUUUAAAACUGCUCAUCUUGAGGUAUGGAAGGGAAAGUGGAAUUCCUAGUGUAGCGGUGAAAUGCGCAGAUAUUAGGAGGAAUACCGGUGGCGAAGGCGACUUUCUGGCCAUAAACUGACGCUGAGGUACGAAAGCGUGGGUAGCAAACAGGAUUAGAUACCCUGGUAGUCCACGCCGUAAACGAUGAGUGUUAGGUGUCUGGAAUAAUCUGGGUGCCGCAGCUAACGCAAUAAACACUCCGCCUGGGGAGUACGCACGCAAGUGUG
rnacentral:rRNA from 1 species